UAGCGGUGGAUCACUCGGCUCGUGAGUCGAUGAAGAACGCAGCUAGCUGCGAGAACUAAUGUGAAUUGCAGGACACAUUGAUCAUCGACAUUUCGAACGCACGACGUUUAAACGUUUAGANUUNA
rnacentral:rRNA from 1 species